GAGCAAUUUGAAAUACUAAAAUUUGUAUAGGUAUAGUUGGAUACAAUUGGUAGUUUUCUUUUCUUUUCUUUUUUUUAGUUUUUUAAAAUUUUAAAAAUAUAAUGCAUAAACUGAAUUUUAUUGUAAUUUGCAUAUUUUUUUGAGUGCAUAAAUAUAUGUAAAAUGAUUUAGGCAUCGUGUGUGUUGAUAAUAGAUAAAUUGACAAGAAAAGAUAAUCAUGGUUUGAAAUAAACAAGACAUUCACAAUUUGGGAUAUGAAAUUUUAUCAGUAGCAUGCAAUUUAGGCAUUUAUUUGUGCUCAAUUAUGUGGAUGAGAACAUUCGUAGACCUUUAAUUUUGCACCUUUCAUGGUCAAAAUCUACAAAUACAACAUUAUUGCAGUACAAUCUUUGUUCAAAUGUUUUAACAAGUUUCUUCUCCUUUACUUGGAACAGCUUGGAAAUUUGAUCAAACAUUGAACUGUGCCCAAUAUUCAAAACCAAUAAAUUAUAACCUAGUUAAACUCUUUAUUUAGAUGUUUCUUGGGAAAUCAACAAUAUCAUUGUUUUAUAAGCAUCAUCACUUCUAAAUUAAUGAACACCUUUUACUCACCAAAAUCCUCUCAUUAUUUUGAUUCUUAAAUGCUCUUUAAAACUCCAACA
rnacentral:lncRNA from 1 species